rnacentral:rRNA from 1 species
CAGCGACGCCGCAUGCGGGAAGAAGGCCUUCGGGUUGUAAACCGCUUUUUCACGAGGAAGCAUUUCGUUGACUUUAGUGGAGGAAUAAGGGGAUGCUAAUUCUGUGCCAGCAGCCGCGGUAAGACAGAAUCCCCAAGCGUUAUCCGGAUUUACUGGGCGUAAAGCGUCCGUAGGCGGUCUAGCAAGUCUGGUGUUAAAUCUCUCGGGCUCAACCUGAGAGCUGCAUCAGAAACUGCUAGACUAGAGGGCGUCAGAGGCUGGCGGAACGCACGGUGUAGGGGUGAAAUCCGUUGAUAUCGUGCGGAACACCGAAAGCGAAGGCAGCCAGCUGGGGCGACCCUGACGCUGAGGGACGAAAGCGUGGGGAGCGAACGGGAUUAGAUACCCCGGUAGUCCACGCUGUAAACGAUGGGCACUAGCUAUUGGCAGUGUCGACCCUGCCAGUGGCGAAGCUAACGCGUUAAGUGCCCCGCCUGGGAAGUACGCCGGCAACGGUGAAACUCAAAGGAAUAGACGGGGGCUCACACAAGCGGUGGAUCAUGUGGCUUAAUUCGAUAAUAACCGAAGAACCUUACCAGGGCUUGACAUGCUAGUGAAACCUCGCCGAAAGGUGAGGACUCCACACGGACACUAGCACAGGUGCUGCAUGGUUGUCGUCAGCAGGUGCCGUGAGGUGCUCCCUUAAAUGGGGAAACCUGCGCAACCCUUGCCCUAUGUUUUACGUGUCAUAGGAGACUGCCGCGGAUAACGCGGAGGAAGGAGAGGACGACGCCAAAUCAGCAUGGCCCUUAAGCCCUGGGCGGCACACAUGAUACAAUGG